GACGAACGCUGGCGGCGUGCUUAACACAUGCAAGUCGAACGGAAAGGCCCUGCUUUUGUGGGGUGCUCGUGUGGCGAAGGGGUGAGUAACACGUGAGUAACCUGCCCUUGACUUUGGGAUAACUUCAGGAAACUGGGGCUAAUAUCGGAUAGGAGCUCCUGCUGCAUGGUGGGGGUUGGAAAGUUUCGGCGGUUGGGGAUGGACUCGCGGCUUAUCAGCUUGUUGGUGGGGUAGUGGCUUACGAAGGCUUUGACGGGUAGCCGGCCUGAGAGGGUGACCGGCCACAUUGGGCCUGAGAUACGGACCAGAAUCCUACGGGAGGCAGCAGUGGGGAAUCUUGCACAAUGGGCGGAAGCCUGAUGCAGCAACGCCGCGUGCGGGAUGACGGCCUACGGGUUGUGAACCGCUUUCGCAUGUGACGAAGCGUGAGUGACGGUAAUGGGUAAAAAAGCACCGGCUAACUACGUG
rnacentral:rRNA from 1 species